UUAAGUUCAGCGGGUAUUCCUACCCGAUCCGAGGUCAACUAAAUUGAUUAAGGUUAACGGCGUGGCCGCCCGACUCGCCAGCGAGAUUGUACAACGCUUGAGAGAUCGGGGUCGUCUAGCCGGCGAAAUCGGGGCGCGGGGAAGUCCCGUCGCCCAAUACCAAGCCAGGCUUGAUGGGUGUUAAUGACGCUCGAACGGGC
rnacentral:misc_RNA from 1 species